rnacentral:rRNA from 1 species
CAGGCCUAACACAUGCAAGUCGAGCGCCCCGCAAGGGCAGCGGCAAAUUUGUGAGUAACGCGUGGGAACCUACCCUUUCCUGCGGAAUAGCUCCGGGAAACUGGAAUUAAUACCGCAUACGCCCUUUGGGGGAAAGAUUUAUCGGCAAGGGAUGAGCCCGCGUCGGAUUAGCUAGUUGGUGGGGUAACGGCCUACCAAGGCGACGAUCAGUAGCUGGUCUGAGAGGAUGAUCAGCCACACUGGGACUGAGACACGGCCCAGACUCCUACGGGAGGCAGCAGUGGGGAAUAUUGGACAAUGGGCGAAAGCCUGAUCCAGCCAUGCCGCGUGAGUGAUGAAGGCCUUAGGGUUGUAAAGCUCUUUCGACGGGGACGAUAAUGACGGUACCCGUAGAAGAAGCCCCGGCUAACUUCGUGCCAGCAGCCGCGGUAAU